CGUUGAUGAGUGCGCGUGAUAACAUUUUGCUCUACACAGCUUUCUUGACAGCAUGGUGUCGUCGAAGCCUAAGAACUACAGUGUUUCUUGAAGUCUUGUACGUCAAAAUUCCCGUGUUUCGUGCGGUCCAGGAAACGCGAGCAAUUCUUAUUUUGCACGACUUGCGCAUGCGGCGUGAGCAUGGCCCACGGCGGCUAAGGUGACAUAAAGCUGCAUUUGGCGACUGCCAAACACCAAAGCUUCCUUCGUGCUGCUGAGAAGCAGAAAGCCGUGAGCAACUUCUUUGGCAACAGCAAUGAAGAUAAUGUUGUGCGUGCAGAGUGCCUUUUCACUGGAUUUCUCACGGAGUACAAUUUGCCGCUAAGGGUGAAUGAUCACGUUGGGCCACUUCUGCGCAAGAUGUUCCCGAAGUGCGAAGAUGCGAAGCGCUACGGAUGCCAUGUUUUCACCUUUGCAGUCGACGGCAGCGGUGACACCUCAUCGCAGCUUUACCCUGUCGUGGCAACCUAGAGAAAUGCGGGCGGGUUGAAAGCGAACUGUUGUGCAUGCAAGCACUUCAAGGAGAGGAUACUGGCCAAAAAAUUGGCAGUCUCGUGCCCGACGCAUUGCGUUCGCUUUAUACUUUAUAUAUCUGAGUUGAAUUGCAGACAAGAUAUGUCUAACCUUUCAGACUAGACUAAUAGCAUGCGCGGCAUAGAGAGAGAGAUCCCCCUCCCCGUGCAAUGAGUCUCCCGAUUUUCGCAGUCCCCAGGUUGGCAGAGGUGACUGACCUGCAGCAUCGUUUCUUUUUCUUGGAUAUUAUAAAACGAACACAGCGGUUUACUUUUUGUUACGUAGAAGGGCAGAAAUGACACGGAUAAUGACAAAAUCUCUCCAGGGUCAAGGCAUCCAUCCUCUCUCACAACUUCCUAAGUCACAGCAGAGAUGCCUCCACCGGUGACUGCUGCAAAUUUGAAACUGGAAACCUGUUCUGUCUGAAUACACGCAUAAGAAGCCACACAGGCGAGAAGCCAUUUCGGUGGCCUUCCUGCCUUCAGACCUUUGUGAAAAGCAGUGACCUCAAGAGACACUUGCACAUCCACCCAGGCGACCAACCAUAUCACUGGACCAACUGCUCCAAGUCCUUUGUACAGGCCGGUAACUUGAGGACACAUGAAAACACAGCACCAUGAUGCCAUAGAGUAGGGAGUAGGGACAUUGGUGUGCUUUUUGGGAUAAAUGAGUCUGAACAUGGAAUCUCUGUAGUAUAUGCGCAGUACGCUGUGUGGGGUUCUUGUGCAUUGAGAAGGGGCUACUAGUUUUGCUAUGUUUUGUCAUAUGUUGAAUCGCAAAGUAACAUUUAUUCACUGUAGUCUAACAAGUUGCAAAGAAAUUUGUUGUAGUGAUACUGCUUCCAUUACAGUAACCAUAUUUAUGCAGUAUACUUGCAUGGCAAGGCUCAACAAGGUAAAAGGAAUCAUCCAUCAACUAUGCCUUCAGAACAGUUGUGUUUGCAAUAAACAUAGCCACGAUAAAGUGUUAAUGUAUUGCCAGUUAUUGGGGCUGCUUGCUCUCCUCGAAAUUUACUGCUGUGUAAAUGAACAUUAAAGCUCCUCACCAGGUUUGGGCAUUGCUAACAGACAAGAGGAAUGCAUAGGUCAGGCAAUGACAUUUAUUCAACAAACCUCAGGAGAACCUCUCUUCCUCCUGAAAAAUCAAGGUCAUACGCAUAAAUGCCUCUGUGUUGGAUGCAGUUUCCUGAACAUCAUCCAAUAAAUUGUGUGACUGGCAAGGCAUUGAAUGCAGAAUAUGCUAAACCACACCGGGAGGUGUAUCGUCCCGGUGUAUCGUGCUGUGAAAGAUGAAGAAAAAAAUAAUUAGGCUUGGCUUGUGAGAUUGAUCGGUGAAGUAUGUUUCUCCAGCUAUAUUUGUAUAAAGUCGUAUUUUGACAGCCAUGCAAUGAUAAAUACGAGGUGUGUUCAAAAAGAAACCGAACUUUUGAAAUAGCGCGCCAACCGGCAGAGGCAGCGCGCUGUGGCUACUGAGCGCAUGUAGCGGCAGGUUUAGACAACAAUCUCACAUUUGCCGCGUUUCGCUCUGACCGUUAGUUGACGAGCUACAGCCGCUC